rnacentral:rRNA from 1 species
UAUGCACGCUGGCGGCGUGCUUAACACAUGCAAGUCGAACGGAAAGGCCCAAGCUUGCUUGGGUACUCGAGUGGCGAACGGGUGAGUAACACGUGGGUGAUCUGCCCUGCACUUCGGGAUAAGCCUGGGAAACUGGGUCUAAUACCGGAUAGGACCACUUCUUGGAUGUUGUGGUGGAAAGUUUUUUCGGUGUGGGAUGAGCUCGCGGCCUAUCAGCUUGUUGGUGGGGUAAUGGCCUACCAAGGCGUCGACGGGUAGCCGGCCUGAGAGGGUGUACGGCCACAUUGGGACUGAGAUACGGCCCAGACUCCUACGGGAGGCAGCAGUGGGGAAUAUUGCACAAUGGGCGCAAGCCUGAUGCAGCGACGCCGCGUGGGGGAUGACGGCCUUCGGGUUGUAAACUCCUUUCGCUAGGGACGAAGCGUUUUGUGACGGUACCUGGAGAAGAAGCACCGGCUAACUACGUG